rnacentral:lncRNA from 1 species
GGUUACUUGGUUUGCUUUGGAAGAGAAACUGAAUAGAAAAUCCACAGCACAGUAACAUACAUGUUUUCGUUACUUUUCUCCUAUCACCUCUCCUUGUCAGAUUUCUGUUUUCCCUCUGGGAUUUUCCUUUCUGCAGUGUGCUGUAGGGGCUAAAGCUUGAACAACCAGUGAAUUGACUAGACAGAGACUCUGCUUUCUGGGCUGAGCAGAUGCCCGUCUGUUCCAGCGUGGUUCCAGUGCAGAUGAUCAGAUGAUUUGAUUAAAGCGGAAGGAUCUUGGCCAUGCUGCCAUCACUGGUCACCCUGGCGAUAUUUUAAUUCAUCACGUCAUAUGGAAUCCCACUGCAACCCACGCACAGACCAAGAGUGCCACCGAAGAGAUGCUGUUGAAGGCCCCUUGGACGCAUCAGUGGUGGAAAGGGGGCAUGUACCCUGCAGAUCUGGUGUCAUGGGGCCUCAUUGAAAGGGAAGGCGCCUUUGACUGCCUGCCUGCUGCUGACUGCUUGAAAAAGCAGGUGGUAACUGGGCUUCAUAAGGCGGAGCGAGGGGACAGGAAGGAGAUGGAUGAGAGCUUCCUGGAAAAGGAGACUCGGGAACAGCAGGGGAGUGCUGCUGGAGACAGAGAAAAGCAGCUGGGGAGCAGCUUUAACGAGAGAGGAAGAGCUCCUGAGAGGCCGGAGGAAGCAGCUGGGGUGCUGAUUGAGCUGGGGCUGCGUGGUUGGGGGCUCCUUCAGAAAGGAGUGGCCUGAGUGUACAGAGAGCACAAAGGGGUCAGUAACGCCACUGACUCUGCAGGGGAGAGAGCAGGAAGAAGUGGGGGAGGACUGAAAUCUUGUGCUGUGUUGUGGAUAAAUGAAGCCAGCGCGCAGAAGAAAGACCGUGUUUGAAGCUACUGUAUAUUAAUAAACCAGUCCCCAAGAAGGGGUGUUGUCAUGUGGCUCAUGCUUGGGUGGACAUAUUUAGAAGCUUCUGGGUGACGGGAAACUGAGUCUAGGUGUGCCAAACCACCUGAGGCCUGGAGGGGGCGCUAUAGAGCAGGCACACCUAUGUAUACCUGGGGAUCCCUAUCUUCCUUUGCUAGAACCUCUCCUUUUGGCUCUGGGCAGCCCUGACCUAACUUACCCCAGAGGCUAAACCAGUUCAUCUGCAGCCCAUGCUCAGAUAAUCACAGCUAUGUCAUUAAGCUGCCUUUGCCUAAUGCUGCAGGUCCUGCCCCAGGCAUAGUUUGGCCAGACUUUAGAAUCGGG